GUGACCUCGGCGUAAGCUGCUCGCGUUAGCCUUCCUGGAAGACGAGCGGGUACCGGUCCUGCUUCGUGUUCGGGGAUAGGACGUCGUUGACCGAGGGUUCUAGUUCAAUAGUGAGAUGAAAGCUCUGAAGUUGCGUAUUUUGCGGUUACUGUAGUAACGAACUUUCCAUCGUUUACAUAUAGCUUAUACGUAACUUAUGUAGUAGUUCCCGAAAGAGCAAGCAGUCUGUUUCGGUGUAUGUAUUAAUAAUAACGAUGCUGAUGUGUCAAAUGUAGUACACUAUAUAAAGAAUAGAGAGUUUGCAGUUGUACUUAUGAGUGUUAUUCAUGGGAGAUGGCGUUAAACUUUUCCUCUAUGUAUUAUUGGAUAUCUUGUAUAGCUGAAAAGGAACACAGGAAAAAGGAGGGGGAGUUAAUGGUACGAAAUCUUAGGUAACAACUUACUUUGAAUUCUCAGCGGGUGUCACACUAGCAAACGAUAAAUAUGUACACAUUUAUAAACUGUAUGAUCGACGAUGUGACUGAAUAGAUACGGUGUUUCCCUCCAGGGAACGUGACCAACGUGUGAUUCGCCCAUUUGUGUAUGUGCGAGAGAAGACCCUGGGUCAAUUUGCUGAGAGCAGAAUCCUCCAAAUUAUCCCAGAGAACUGUCCUGUAUGCUUUGAUGCACCAAAAGAACGCCAUCGUGUGAAACAACUGUUGGCACAGCAGGAGAUACUGUUCCCUCGCCUCUUCUGGAGCUUGCGAUCUGCCCUUCACCCACUCAUUAGUUUCCGGCACACUGGCGAAGAGAGCAGAAUCUACACGCGCCACAGGAAACAAUCUCAGUCCCAUGGAAUGCAUCCCACUUCUGAUGCUCUAAGUUCCGAUACAGAGGAAGAGCCAGUGUCUUAGAUGGGUAAAUACGUACACCCCACAACACACUUAAGCUGUUGUUAUUCUUCUGAUUUCAACUGGAACAUAACUGCAACUUCUGCUUACAUUUUUGGAACAGACAUGAAGAUUCACUUGUUCAGAGAACAUGUUAUACAAAUUGAGUGAUCUGUGUUGAUAUGAAGAAAGAAGUAAAAUGGAAAUGAGUAUAUUCAGGAAUGGACCAAUGGGCAUUAUUGAUAGAUGUUGGUACAUUUGGGAUUGGCCCAGCAGACAUGUUAAUAUACAUGGGUAUAUAUUUGGUCACCCUAGAUGGACAUGAGUAUAUUCUGGGUUGGUCCUCAAUAAAUUAAAAAUUUACUGGGAAAUAAGAAACCAACAGAAAGAUGCCUCUACUUCUGUGAACCUUAAUUCCUGUCAGAAAUAAGGCUGAUGUCUUGUUAUAUUUAAAUAUUUGCAGAAUUUUCAAUACAAGAAGAUCCUUCUCUAGCCAGAAGAUACAUAAUUUAAUAUGUAUACAGGCCUCUACAUAUUGUGAAACUUACUGAUCAGUAAUUGUAAGUAAUUUAUUAAUUGAAAGAUGAUGAAAUCACUGAUUUGGAGUUGUUAGGACAGUGAAUUGAAAUGGUGUAUCAAAGAUGCAGAUAAGAUGAGCAAAGUACAAGAGAGAACAGAUCUAGACUUUCUGCCUGAACUGUGGAACCAAGUAAGUUAAUAUUCAGAAGGUCCCAUGGGUGGUUAUUGUGGUUGAAAUCCUUCGUGAUUUCGGCCAUUAAUACCAGCAUGGUAUCCUAAAUACCAUAACCAUGGUCUGUAACCUAACCAUCUGCCAUUUCGUAACAUUCACCAUUGUCUUCAGUGCUUCAUUAUUAACUGUUACUGUCAGAUUUUAAAUUCUCAUGCAGGGGCUAGUGACCAAAUUUUUUAAUCCUCUUCUGUCCUCUUUUGGAAGCUUUCUGCAACGAACAUAAUGAAUUUAUGGCAUAUUGUGAUGUGUGCCAAGUGUCAUGUCUUUGCUCGUAUUCAUUGACACCUUUUUUAAUAGUUCAUUCAUGUAUGCAAACAGAUUGUACCUUCCCAUACCCAAUAUUCUUUCAUUUCUGUGCAAAUUAGUAUGUAAUAAGUAGAAUUAGGUUGGAAAUAAAGGGAGAAAGACUUAGCUCUGUAACUCUAUUGGUAUUUAAAGGAAUGCAGUAACCUGUGUAGCCAGACUGCAUGCUUGUGCCAUUACAGAAAUCUGAAGUUUGGAACUUAAGUUUUUGGUAGCCGACAAUCUAAACAAGUAGUGGUUACUUCUCCUUUAAAUAAAGCUUUUAAUUUAAUCUGUUUAUUGUUUUUACUUCUAGUAAAAAAGGCACAGGGGGCACACGGUAGUGUAGUUGGUUGAGGGGCUAUGCUACAAGCUGGACGGUCGCUGG